rnacentral:rRNA from 1 species
UACGAGUACCCCAAGCGUUAUCCGGAAUUAUUGGGCGUAAAGGGUGUGUAGGCGGCGAUGUUAGCCUUUCGUUAAAGCCCCGGGCUCAACCUGGGAAAGGCGAAAGAAACGGCAUUGCUAGAAUAUGUGAGAGGUAUGUGGAACUCAUGGUGUAGGGGUGAAAUCCGUUGAUAUCAUGGGGAACACCAAAUGCGAAGGCAGCAUACUGGCGCAUUAUUGACGCUGAAACACGAAAGCGUGGGUAGCGAAUGGG